rnacentral:rRNA from 1 species
UACGGGGGGAGCAAGCGUUGUUCGGAUUUACUGGGCGUAAAGCGCGUGUAGGCGGCAACGCAAGUCGGGCGUGAAAUCCCACGGCUCAACCGUGGAAGUGCACUCGAAACUGCGUAGCUAGAGUCCUGGAGAGGAAGGUGGAAUGCUUGGUGUAGAGGUGAAAUUCGUAGAUAUCAAGCGGAACACCGGUGGCGAAGGCGGCCUUCUGGACAGUGACUGACGCUGAGACGCGAAAGCGUGGGGAGCAAACAGG